rnacentral:tRNA from 2 species
ACUUAAAUAGCCUAAGAUUAGGGCGUUACAUUGAAGCUGUAGAGGUGACAGUAAAGUCUUUGGGUA